rnacentral:rRNA from 1 species
UACGAAGGGGGCUAGCGUUGCUCGGAAUCACUGGGCGUAAAGCGCACGUAGGCGGGUCCUUAAGUCAGGGGUGAAAUCCUGGAGCUCAACUCCAGAACUGCCCUUGAUACUGAGGAUCUCGAGUUCGGGAGAGGUGAGUGGAACUGCGAGUGUAGAGGUGAAAUUCGUAGAUAUUCGCAAGAACACCAGUGGCGAAGGCGGCUCACUGGCCCGAUACUGACGCUGAGGUGCGAAAGCGUGGGGAGCAAACAGG